CUCGUCUACUAUUUUCAUUAAAAACCCUACCCCCAAUCUUUCCUCUUAAAACGUGCCUUUAAUCUUCCGCUUUCCUCUGUUCCUCAUACCCAAAUAAUUUAUGCCGUCAUCUCAUAUUCACGAAAUUGAUCGGAGUGCAAAUCACAUUCUCGAAGUUCAAAGUCGCACCCGAUUAGCGAUAAACAAAUCUCAGUGUAACGCCAAAAAUUGAAAGGGGAAGCAUCCAUGUUGGUCUUAGAUUGUUCUAGAACUCUAAACAUGACAGAUACUACUGAUACUUCUCAGACUUUUGAUCGAGGUUAUUAAGGUGCGUUAAGUAUUUACUUUUUAUGAUUUUCAUUCUAUUAUGUUUACUGGAUUGUAUUUCCUGCCUUUAAAAUGAUUGCCCUUUCGUUUAUUAUGAUGUACUGAAGUUUGUUGUGCUUGGGAAGUGGUAGCUAGGUUUAUUUAUGCAUUUAACAGUUCUCUGUUUGUGUUCAAGAUACAUGGCUAUUGUGGAGUGAUGAAAUUGAAUCAUUUUGGGGAUAAAGCUUUAGUAUCUGCACCUUUUUUCUUUUAAUGUGAUUGUGUAUUCACAGCUUUUGUUUCAUUUCAGUGGCUGAUUGUUUCUUCUAUUGGAUUUUGUCUAUUCUUACAUCUUUAAUAUGAUUGUUUUACUAUCAUGUUGUUAUAGUUAAUGCUUGUUACGCUCCUUCUUAGUCCAUGUAAAUUAUUUAAUUAGUUGAUUAGGUUUAUAGGUGCUAAUAGAGGUAGGAUGAGUGUAGAAAGGACCUACAGGUCCAAAUUACAUAAAUCUUGCUUGGAUAAGUCAGAAACUGAACUAUGCCUUACAGGAAAUAUCACGCUUUUGCAUUUAGUUGGGUAAGAUUACAUUUAUGUUCGAUAGAACAAUCAUUUAGUAUGAUAGAAUAACUUAUUGAUACCUAUAAUGCCAAAACCUUAGUAGACAAACAAGCAUGAUUAUGUUUCCUUGACCCAUACAUACUCAAGAUCAGUUUACCAGAGGAAGAAAAACUUGGAACUGUAGCACCAGAUAACUAACCUCAUCGACUUAUAAUGUUGGAUUCCUCAUAGGAGAUGACAUUCUGCUUUUCAGUAAGAAUAUGGAUAUUACUCUGUAUUUCUAGGAGAAAAAUGACCUCUAUAGCAUGAUCAUUAACCAAAUAUGGCCUAUGAAUUCUAGUUGGUUGUGGUUCUCAUUUGCAGGUCACUCAAGAGGAUCAUCUCCUUAAAUUGAGAUAAGUAAAUAUCUAGUUUGUAUUACCUAUCAAUACCUCAAGACGCUUGCUUGAUUGAUUAGCCCUAAAAUUCAAUACUAACAAGAUUACCGUGCAGGUGCUGAAAAUGAGUUGCGUUAGGAGCAUACUCAAGGUCUGCCAGCUCGUCAAAGGUUGAUAUGCAAAAAUUGGAGUCAAAAAGAGAAUACUCUUAUGCAAAGCGUGUCGCCACAGAGAUUUCAGUUGCCUCUUUACAUGAAGGCUCGUCGAGUGAACUGUUGUGAAUUAAUAUUUUUGUAAUCAGCAUUGGAGUUUAUUUAUAUAGCACAGCUUGUUCUGAAGAUGUACAGGGGAAAAACUUUAUAUUUUUGAGAACCACUAUUGAAUGGUGUUGUAAGAUUUUCAAAAAUAAUGUGUACGUGCCUCUUUUGUUUUAAUUCAAAGUUCUUUUGUUGCGUAUGA